rnacentral:sRNA from 1 species
UUGUAUCCGUGUUCGUGUACGGCAGCGGU